UAAACCAACAUUUUUUUUCUUACUUAGAAGAGAACAACACCACAGGAUGCUACACAAUCCAGACUUUAUAUCAUAGAGCAUCUCAAAUGGGUUCCACCCACAGCUUCCUUGAGCCCUCCUGAAAAGAUUUGCUUCUUCUUCAGAGAGCUUGCCGCUACAAGCGAAUAUUGUUUUCAAAACAUGCCUGUUUCUUUCCUUUCUUGGCUCUUCAAUUUCUUCUAGCGUCUCAGCCAAUUUUUAUUUUCUUUACACCAACAUUUUCAAAACCCCUUUGCAAGAAGACCAUCGUUUUCAUCGUUUUCAUAUGGCCUUUCCUGAGCAUCUGACGGCUGACAUUCUCUCAAGACUACCCGCCAAAUCUCUGGUUCGGUUCAGCUCAGUACGCAAAGAAUGGCAAGCUCUGAUCAGAGACCCCCAUUUCAUUUCUCAGCACCUCAAUCUCAAUAUUGCAAAAGAAGACCAAAGUGGACGCCUUCUGGUAAAGUACCGUUGCAAUGUUACUCGUAAGAAUGUUAUUUCUCUGCUUUUACAUGGCACACAUGGUUACAUGUUAUCAAAAUUGGAGAUACCAUCAUCUGUAAUGGAUUCCCAUCACUUGAAACUUGUGGGGUCUUGUAAUGGCUUACUUUGUUUAGCUCAUGAUAAAUCUGCCCAUCUUUGGUCACCUAUGAUUUUGUUGUGGAACCCUGCUAUAAGGGAAUUUAGUGUCCUACCAGACUCAGUUAUUGAUUCUGUCAAUGAUGAUGAUAAUGUUCAGGCCCGUGGCAUUGCCCACGGAUUUGGGUACCACCCUCUUAUUGAUGACUAUAAGGUUGUGAGGAUUGUGUCUUUGUCUUGCUUUGGUAAUGCUUGGAUACGGGCGGAGGUGUAUUCUUCAAAAAUGGAUUGUUGGCAGGAGGUUAAUACUUUUCACUUUGAAAUAUAUGAACAUUCGUGCACGGCUCUGAACGGUUUGCUUUAUUGGAUUGCAUAUGGCAAGGGGGAUCGUGAAUUGAUCGUAUCGUUUGACAUGUGUGAUGAUGUGUUUGGGGAAUUGCAGUUGCCAGAUUUAAGCUUUUUAGACACCCCGAUGUGCACAAAACUGGCGGAAUUAAAGCAAUCUCUUUAUUUGAUAGUGUAUACUUUUAGUGGGAGGCAAAGAGAGAUUUAUGUAUGGAAAAUGAUUGAGCAUGAUGCUGAGGUUUUUUGGAAAAGGGAAUGGACAAUUGGACCCCUGCUUGGAAUUGAGAGGCCACUGGGAUGCGGUUUAUAUGGUGAAAUUUAUAUGGAAAGUAGAAAAGGGGACCUGGUUUUGUAUAAUCCAAGUAGUGAAGAAGCUAAACACAUUCCAAUUUGUGGCCUUCGCUGUUCCUUAGAAGUCCAUUUUUAUGUGGAGAGCCUAGUUUCAACUAAAGGACAACGUGAAGUCUUACAAGAGACUAACAAGAGGAUCAUGUAGUUCUGGUUCUGCUCUCUCUAUGGUAAAUGUUGUAUGGAGUUGUAUAAGAGGCUAUGAAAUUAAAGUGGUCAUGUAGUUUUAGUCCUUGUAUGCCGUGUAUUAUGAAGGUGUACAAGUAGUCCUUGUGUUAUUUGUUAGUAUUUCUAACUACUGUGAUGAGUUUGAUUUGUGGUGCACUUUCUCUAGAUGUUAAAUCAAUAACAACUCUAUAUCUCAUUUUGCUCUUUGCUACGUAACUUAAUUGUUCACUUCAGAAGAAAUAUCAACAGAAGGGCAGCCUAGAAGAUUUCAAGUCUCAAAUUCCACAUUGUCUUCAUGUUCUAUGAUCUGUUAGGGUCAUGACAACUUCUGUUACAAAAAUCUUCUGGCUAUUAUGUUCGACCAAGCUCAGAUAAACUGGUAUCUUUCCAUUGUUGCUUACAACUGAUGGAAGGUUAUAUACAAUAUUUUAUCUUCCUUUUUUUGGGCUACAUUGGUGGUGAGGUACAAUAUUUCACCUUGCUGGAGACGACAGGCACAUUUCAUGCAAAUGAAUUCGUUUCAGAGGAUCAAAUCAUAGUAAGGACUGUUGACGAUGUUGGAAUUUGACAUGUCCUGGAUAAGUAUGUUAUAUAGAUCAUGUGAUUGACAGACUGUGUUGCACUAGUUCGAACAUUAACUAUGAAAAUUUCUUGUCCCAAGUCACUUUUUAAAUAGUUUGUUUGUUGUGCAGACUUUGGUGCCUCCUACUGUUUCCUGGUUUUGCAGGACAGUGAAGAUAAAGUUCUUGAAAGAGUGAAUUUUGUAUGUCUAUCAGAAGAAGAUUGAGAGGAAAAAGGAGGUAGAGAGAAGAACAAUAGAAGGUGAUGGUUUCACUUUUCAACUAUUUCAAGUCUCUGCAAAAAAGCUGCUGUGGGUUUGAGAUUGCCGUGGAUGAUUCAAAGCUACUGUUUCAAGGCAGAGCAUGGACAACAUAUGAGAACAAAAACCUUCUGUACUCCCUUGUAUUUUGGGUUUUUUUAGAGUUUUGUUAAUGUAGAAAAAUAAAACAUAACAGAGUUAACCUUGUUAUAAAUUGAAGGACGCGUAUCAAGCAAAUAUGGAGGACCAUAGAGAGGGCUGAAUUUUGGGCACAGCAGAUCCGAUCUUUGUUAGUUUGCUGGUUGGUGAACCACGUGGAUUUUUGUGUGUGGAUAUUUUUCGCUUUCAAUUCGAUGAAAGGGUAUACAAAUAUGUUUUUCAUUGAUA